rnacentral:lncRNA from 1 species
AGAAAUGAGAAGAGGUAUCUAUAAUAAAUAAAAAAUUAUUUUUUUAAAUAGAUAAUUUAAAUCACAUAUGCAAUUUUACUUUUAAUAUAUAUAACUAACUAUUCAAUACAAUAUUAAAAAGUUCUAAAAUUCUAAAAUGAAUCAAUAUACUUUGCUAAUUGCAAUGGAAAAAAAAUCAUAUACACAUAAAAAGAAACACAAAUAAAAAUAUUGAAAGUGAAAUAAAAUCAAAAUAGAAAAGAAAACAAAGAAAAAAAACGUGGAUGUGGGGAGAGAGAUAUUAUAGAACAUGAAAAAAAAAACAGUUCUUUUUCAUUAAUUUCAACUUUUAAA